rnacentral:rRNA from 1 species
UACGUAGGGUGCAAGCGUUGUCCGGAAUUAUUGGGCGUAAAGAGCUCGUAGGCGGUCUGUCGCGUCGGCUGUGAAAACCCGGAGCUCAACUCCGGGCCUGCAGUCGAUACGGGCAGACUGGAGUACUGCAGGGGAGACUGGAAUUCCUGGUGUAGCGGUGGAAUGCGCAGAUAUCAGGAGGAACACCGGUGGCGAAGGCGGGUCUCUGGGCCGAUACUGACACUGAGAAGCGAAAGCGUGGGGAGCGAACAGG